CUUAAAGAAAAGUCGAACUGUCAAAAUUUAUCUUUCUUUUAAAAACUAUCAAAAAAAACUAAUUUUGAAACAGAAGAGACCUAAAAUAUCAAGAACAUUUAGAUGCAUUAGAUGAAAAAGCAUAUGCAAGAUGAAAUUGUACCAGUAUAGGUUGAAAAUAUAUAAUAGUUUCAACGUUUUGCUGUUCUAAUCGUACUGAAUCGUCUGGUAGUUUUCUUUUCCUACCCGCACACUAGAGGAUUAUUUGUUUCCUUCCUAAAUAUGAACUGUCAUCAAUAUAAACUGGGAAAUUAUUUGCGCGUGUGUUAAAAGAUUAUCACUAAAAUCUCAGACAUUUUGUCAAUCGUAAAGUAGACUUUUUCAUAAGACGAGGGCUCCGUCGUACACGUGAAAAUCUAUUUUGGAGAGGAAGACGGCUACUGGAGUCUUCAAAGGAGACUAUUCUGAAAAAUAAAAAUGAUUAUGGAAAAAAUACUGUAGACUACUGUCACUUGUAACCUUUUUAUAGUCGUACUUUCGUACUUUCAAAAAUGAUUAUCACAAUAAAAAUUGUGAGCGA